UACGUAGGGGGCUAGCGUUGUCCGGAAUCAUUGGGCGUAAAGCGCGUGUAGGCGGUCCGGUAAGUCCGCUGUGAAAGUCGAGGGCUCAACCCUCGAAUGCCGGUGGAUACUGUUGGGCUAGAGUACGGAAGAGGCGAGUGGAAUUCCUGGUGUAGGGGUGAAAUGCGCAGAUAUCAGGAGGAACACCAAUUGCGAAGGCAGCUCGCUGGGACGUUACUGACGCUGAGACGCGAAAGCGUGGGGAGCAAACAGG
rnacentral:rRNA from 1 species